GGAGAGUUGUCUGAGCGGUCUAAAGUAGCAGCUUUGAAUCCUGCCAGGUGUCACAGCCUCCCCGGUUCGAAUCCGGGACUCUCCGCCA
rnacentral:tRNA from 1 species